rnacentral:rRNA from 1 species
UACAGGGGGUGCAAACGUUGCUCGGAAUCAUUGGGCGUAAAGCGCACGUAGGCGGUCUGUUAUGUCGGAUGUGAAAGCCCUCGGCUCAACUGAGGAAGUGCAUCCGAAACUGGCAGGCUAGAGUACUAAAGAGGGUCGCGGAAUUCCCGGUGUAGAGGUGAAAUUCGUAGAUAUUCGCAAGAACACCAGUGGCGAAGGCGGCUCACUGGCCCGGUACUGACGCUGAGGUGCGAAAGCGUGGGGAGCAAACAGG